rnacentral:tRNA from 1 species
GGGAAUGUGGCUUAGUGGUAGAGUGCUUGCCUAGCAUGCAUGAAGUCAUGGGUUCAAUUCCUCUGUGCCA